AGAGAGAAAGAAGCAGGCUCCCUGCUGAGCAGAGAGCCUGAUGCAGGGCUCGGUCCCAAGACCCUGAGAUCAUGACCUGAGCCGAAGGCAGAGGCUUUAACCCACUGAGCCACCCAGGUGCCCCCAUGCUUGUUACUUCUUUUUGAAAGUCAGAGAUGAAGUAUCCAGUAAAGGAAUUGAGGAACCUACUCAAGUCACUUCCUGUAUGUACCACUUCAAUGUUAAUGAUGAAUUGCAUCUGGGCCUGCCCAAUCUUACCCAGAGAUAGCAGCAUGAGACAGAGGCAAGGAUCCCAGAUCUGAAGUUUCUGAAGAAAUUCAGGUCACAGAAAUAGAAAUGCAAAUUCCUUCAUGAAUAUGAGUUUUGGGGAGACUUGGACCUAUCAACAAUCUGACUCCUUCGAUGCUUUACUAAUUCUUAAAUCCUUGGAGUUACCUGAAGCAGAAUUAUGAAUUCUUGUUGUCAUUCACUCAGAAUUCUAGGUUAGCAAGUCCCUAAGGCAGGAAAGAGUUAGAGUGAAUAGCAGGACUUUAGCUGGCCUAUGAUUCAGCAUGUGUUCCUGGCUGUUUUCUUUGUUGUGGGCUACAGAAAAUGGGAUGGAUCUGUUCUGUAUCGAUGCUGAUGCUCUCUAGAGAUGCUGACAGAGGUUAAGAAAUAAAUGGUUUGAGGUGGGUCUAUAAAAGUGGCUCUCAUGUUGGCAUAUCUGUUUUAUGGUUUUAAAAGAGAACUAUCUAUAUCCAGUUAAUAAUCUCAUUUCAUCUUGAGUUCCUGCAUUGUUAAACUAAACAUAAAGAACCUCUUGGAACAAAGCUGUGCAUAGGUUUUGACUGUGCCUUUUAUGUGACUGGAGCUCACUCUGGUAGGCUGGGAAUUCAUUAGGUAAAUUGGCACUGCAAUUGGUUGUGCUUCUAUUGAAGAAGAAGAAAACACUGGCAUGAAAAUUCUGUGAAACAGCAUAAUUUAAAGGUGAAUUGUUUCCUCCAAAUAUUGAAUCCCUUGAAUUUGGGGUUUGCUUUCAGGCAAUUGAAAUUUUCCUAGCACAUUUAAACCUAAAGGGAUUUAUUAGCAAAUAUUAGGAAGAUAUAAAAUUAUUGGAAGUAGGUUAUAAAAGAUCCUGGCCACACUUCAGGAAUGAUUUCACCUUCCAAAUUAAACUGCCUUUACCAUAAUCAUGUUCUCCAUUGCAGAAACAAACAAACAACUUAGAAUCAGAGAGCAGAGAUGACAUACCUGCAUUCUCUCUGUCCUGAUCUGGGGCAGCACAAGGGAUGCCUCAAGUUCCAUAUCCCUUUGCUUUUAAUUCAGUUCUGAGUCUAUUUCAUGUAAGUUUAUCUGCCUGAGCAAAUAAAUUGCAUCCAGAAAACCAGAUGCAAAGACAUCGAAGGAGUGCAGUUCUUGAACCUCUCCAAAUAUGAAUGCACACUAGAAGGAAACACGGUGGCUGCUAAGCAUCAAUACAUACCACAUUUCUGUCACAUCUUUAAAAAUAAUUUUGUAAAGUUUACUAUAAAUUGAAAUUGUGUAUAUAAGACCCAGUUGCAGUUUAUAUUAUAUAU